UUUAUAUUCCACGGCCAAUGACAUUUAAUAGUUCUAGGUGUGGCGAUGUCUAACGUCACAACUGUCACAAAGGUCUCAAUCAAAAUAAGCAGCUGUUGCUUGAAGACGUCACUUGGAGACGCCACUUAGCCGAAGCCAGCCACAAAACAGUUAGCUGGAGUAGGACCUGCUGUGCAAAAGCCGACGUCUGGAUAUGCAUUUUCAUAGCAAGUUAGUGCUUCUGUGCCUAACUAUCUUGUGUUGGCCGUCGCUUGGUGUGUCCGCUAGAGGGCGCGAGCACUUGCAACUCUGGCAUGACAAAUAUGAGGAGCAUAUGAAGACUGUUGUUUCCAUAAACACUCUGUUCAGUCCGGUCAAGAAAAGCGGCGGACUCGUGGACAUACUGUUCAACAUGCCAGACCUAUGGCAAUUUGGGAAAAGAGCGCGACCAAUUAACAAACGACGGAAUGGUAUGAAGUGGUCUGGUGCUGUAUACAAACUGCCGGACAAAAGAAAGUAUACUGUCACCUAUGUUUGAUGGUGGCUAACAAAAAGAAAAAGGGACAACGUCUUAAUUAGGUAAUGCGAGGAUAUAUCUGCAAUAUCUUAAAUGAAAUUUCUUGUCACAUGUAAAAUAUAUCUUCAUUUGCAUUUUUAUAAAUUUGUUGUUUGUCAAGUUUGAUCAUUUGGUCCCCCAAAAUAGUUUCAGGGAAUAUGUCUAAAAGAAGCUUUGUGUUGGAUCAGGGAGAGCGUAUGAUACCCGAAACUGUAAGGGUGUGUGUGUAUUCCCCUAGUGAUUCAGAUAUCACAUAGAUUCUCGGAUAUCUCAGGGAUUACACACAUUCCCUUCUUAGACAUAUUCACUGCAAACUUCUGGUAUCAUAACUAUUUGAUAAUGAUUCAUAAGCACAUGCAUAUGAUAUAAUCCCAGUAAUAAACAUGCAUGUACGUACAAAGUUGCCAUGGGAGUAUUAUAACUAUAAUAAUAUGAGCGUUCCCUUGAGAA